rfam:Chlorocebus sabaeus isolate 1994-021 chromosome 16, whole genome shotgun sequence.
GUCCAUGGGCCUACCACUAUGAACACGCCUGAUCUCAUCUGAUCUCAGAAGUUAACCAGGAUCAGACCUGGCUAGUACUCGGAUGAGAAGCCAACAGGGAAUACCACGUGCUGUAAGCU